rnacentral:rRNA from 1 species
CUUGACUGUAUCUUGGAAUUGGGUUCGGGCUUUUCUUGCGCAGACUAGGUGGGAGGCUAUGAAGAUUUUCUUCCGGGGAAGUUGGAGCCAACAGUGAGAGACCACUCUGGAAAGGCUAGAAUCCUAAUGGUGAUCCUUGAAUCAGGACACUUGACAGUUUCAGGUGGGCAGUUUUUCUGGGGCGGAAGCCUUUGUCUUUGUACAUGGGGCAACUCUUUCAGCAAUGAAAGGUGAAACAACAAAUAAAAGUGCUGGAACAUCUCAUUUUUCGGUUUUUCAUUCAAAAGAGCAAAAAUCGCACUUUCAUGGAAACAAUCUGCAUAAAAGGUAACUGAGGCGCGCAAAGGUCCCCUCAGUCUGGACGGAAAUCA